UACGGAGGAUGCGAGCGUUAUCCGGAUUUAUUGGGCUUAAAGGGUGCGUAGGCGGGCUUUUAAGUCAGCGGUAAAAAUUCGGGGCUCAACCCCGUCCGGCCGUUGAAACUGGGGGUCUUGAGUGGGCGAGAAGAAGGCGGAAUGCGUGGUGUAGCGGUGAAAUGCAUAGAUAUCACGCAGAACCCCGAUUGCGAAGGCAGCCUCCCGGCGCCCUACUGACGCUGAGGCACGAAAGUGCGGGGAUCGAACAGG
rnacentral:rRNA from 1 species